UGGAAUGAAAAUCGUGAGGAAACUUAGGGUUAACGCUGUGACGGUUCAGUUUCUUACCUUCUCCGUUCAAACCAAACACAACAUUAUCAAGUUUUUCUCCGCCUCUAUAUUUCUCAGCCCGAUGACUACAAGCAUAACCCCAUCACCCCUCCUCCUUAUUUUCCAUCGCUUAUACCUUCCCCCCGCUUCGAUCACAGCUCCGAUCAAAGAUCAACAUCCGGCCACCACGAAAGACCGUCUCGUCUCUCUUAAUUCAUCUUCGUCUUGA